GAUGAACGCUGGCGGCGUGCCUAAUACAUGCAAGUCGAGCGAACAGACGAGGAGCUUGCUCCUCUGACGUUAGCGGCGGACGGGUGAGUAACACGUGGAUAACCUACCUAUAAGACUGGGAUAACUUCGGGAAACCGGAGCUAAUACCGGAUAAUAUAUUGAACCGCAUGGUUCAAUAGUGAAAGACGGUUUUGCUGUCACUUAUAGAUGGAUCCGCGCCGCAUUAGCUAGUUGGUAAGGUAACGGCUUACCAAGGCAACGAUGCGUAGCCGACCUGAGAGCGUGAUCGGCCACACUGGAACUGAGACACGGUCCAGACUCCUACGGUAGGCAGCAGUAGGGAAUCUUCCGCAAUGGGCGAAAGCCUCACGGAGCAACGCCGCGUGAGUGAUGAAGGUCUUCUGAUCGUAAAACUCUGUUAUUAGGGAAGAACAAAUGUGUAAGUAACUAUGCACGUCUUGACGGUACCUAAUCAGAAAGCCACGGCUAACUACGUG
rnacentral:rRNA from 1 species